rnacentral:snRNA from 1 species
GUACUCGCUUCGGCGGUACAUAUACUAAAAUUGGAACGAGACAGAGAAGAUUAGCAUGGCCCCUGCGCAAGGAUGACACGCAAAAUAGUGAAGCGUUCCACAUAUCA